UUACGGUCCAUUUCAUUCCAUAUCAAUUCAGUUUUUUUUGUCAAACAAAACCAGAUAAAUCGUUCGCUCACGAAAAUUGUUUUUAUUGUUACUUUGAGAAGUUUAUUCAGUUUUAUCAGUUGUCUACUUGUCUGCAGAGAGCUGUAUUAUCUGACCGGCAUCUCGACACAUUCGUAAAGCUACCGCAAAGAAAUACAGUGCGAAAGCAUCUCAAUUCCAUAUCGGACAUACGCGUAAAGUUUUUAGUAAUUAUUGAAUAAUUUCUCUAAAACCAUGUCUUGUAAUAGUGGAGAUCCGAAACUGGAUGCAGCCGUCAACACUUGGCUGAAAAUUGACAAGAAUCCAGUAACUCGUCAGGAAGUAUUGGACGACAUAGCAGGUGCAGAAUGGGACGUGUUAAAGAAGACGAUGCUAGGGCGACAGAAGUUCGGCACGGCGGGGCUGCGCGGACGCAUGGGCGCCGGGUACAAAUGUAUGAACGACGUUGUCAUACUGCAAACUGCACAGGGUCUGUGCUCGUACAUUCAAAAAGAGUGUUGUCAAAGCAAACUGCAAAGCGGUAUCGUGGUCGGGUUCGAUGGCAGAUACAACAGCAAGAGAUGGGCCGAGCUGACAGCAAAGGUGUUCAUCUCAGCCAACAUCCCAGUGUACUUAUUCACCAAAGUAUGUCCAACUCCCUUCGUGUCUUUCGGCACCAUACUGUACGAAGCAGCUGCAGGAGUGAUGGUCACCGCUUCACACAACCCGAAGGAAGACAACGGCUAUAAGGUGUACUGGACCAACGGGACACAGAUUAUAUCCCCACAUGACGAUAAUAUACUUGAUGAGAUCCUGCAGUGCUUAGACAUCCCAGACGACCACUGGAAUACAGAAGAGAUCAGAACGCACCCGCUAGUAAAGGACUGCCAAGACGAAGUGACAGCUCAAUACAUGAAGUACAUACGAGAGAGUCUGCCGCAGAACGUUCUAGAAGACAACAAGAACGCCGGCAUCCAGGCUGUGUACAGCGCCAUGCACGGGGUGGGAUAUAAUUACGUCGUUGAAGCUUUCAAAGUCGCUAAUUUAAAGGCACCAAUAAGCGUGAAAGAACAACAAGACCCCAACCCGGAUUUCCCAACAGUCAAGUUCCCCAACCCUGAGGAGGUGGAAUGUGUAGAGCUGAGUCAGAAGCUGGCUGAGAAGACUGGCACCAAGUUGGUGCUGAUCAACGACCCUGAUGCGGACAGGCUGGCUGUGGCCGAGUAUGAUGACAGCUCAAAAUCAUGGAAAGUCUUCUCGGGCAACGAAAUGGGAGCAUUAUUCGGGUGGUGGCUUCUGCAACAGCAUGUGGCUAGUGGCUCUAAACAGGAGGUGUUCGUGUUGGCCAGUAUAGUCAGCUCUAAGAUGCUGCAGGCUAUUGUCAAGGGGAAGGGACACUUCGUUGAAACACUCACUGGAUUCAAGUGGAUGGGGAACGCAACAGUCAUAUUGGCCAAGGAAGGCAAGAUGCCCCUGUUCGCGUUUGAGGAGGCCAUCGGGUACAUGUGCAGCCACAAGGUUCCCGACAAGGAUGGUGUCUCCGCUUGUGUGCAAGUAGCCUCGCUAGCCUCCUCGCUUUACUCCAAAGGCUCGAGCCUUCAGAAGCAGCUGCAGGCUCUAUACUCCGAGUACGGCUACCACGUGUCUCACAACUCGUACUACAUCUGCAACGAACCGGCGAUCAUUCAGAAGAUAUUCCGCCGGAUUCGAAACUACCAUGGACCAGGAGUGUACCCGAAGAAAGUAGCAAGUUCCGAUAUCGUAUACAUGAGGGAUUUCACGGCGGGCGUCAAGAUUCCGGAAAAGGAUAGUGGGGACGGGCAUUUACAGGUGCUAGGGACUGGCCUAGACCAGGAGUACACGAGCGGUGAGAUGAUAAUGUUCCGCUGCAGCAGCGGGCUAAGCGUGACCGUGCGAACCAGCGGCACCGAGCCCAAGCUCAAGUACUACACCGAGCUCGUCGCACGCGCCACCACCGCGCAAGAACAAGAGGAAAUGAAGACCAAAUUGGAGUCGAUGGUGAAAGAGUUCGUGGAAGAGCUGCUGCAACCCAAAGAAAACGGAUUAAUAUAAGCAAACCGAAUAUAAACCUUCACACGUCUCAACACUAUACACAGGCCUCCUCAUCUGUAAGAUGAGUAUAGACAUUUACUUAGUUGCUUCACUGCUGGUUGGUAAAGAUAAAAAAAAAACAAUAUGUAUAGUAAACGACAGGUCGACAUGGCAAUUCUCUAGUGACGUGACGUUUUCAAUAUCGAUAUAUUUUUAUAUUUUUUUUAUAUUAACAAAAUGUGAAUAAAAUAAUACCAUGUUUUCAUUUAAGUUAAUAUUUAUUCAUUUGGUUUUUUUGCUUGAACACGCGACGAAGAUGCAACCGUAGCCAUUUUUAAAACACAAUAGUAAUAAAUUAUGUGAGCGAGAUUAUAAUCGAUAAACGCGGUCGAUACGGACUCGUGCGACACUAAGACUAAGACGCCGCGGGGACUGUGCGGGUGUGCGGGGCGACCCCGCCUCCGCGGCUCACCUCAUGCCCCGAUUGUCAUGUCGACCGGUCGUCAACAGUAAACACAACUUUUUCCACAGUUACUCGUCCAGCUUAGCGGACUUUCGGGUAUGUUAGAUAACUAAGUCAAAGAUAAAUUAUAACAAAAUAUACUUAUUUAAAAUCUCUCACUGCUGAUAAAUUGUGCUGAAUUGUAUUUAUCAGCUAUGAGAGAUUCUACUCCUAUAGGAGUAGUUUUCUUAAUAAGGCCCGGCUCUUAAUACGAACCCAAACAGUGGUCCUUUUUAGGAUUUCGACUUUUAGGCAGAUUUUAAAGCGAAAAUUUUUAAUCAAACAAAUAAUAUUUUUUGUCAGAACCUUUUUAGAAUACAAAAGUUUGUUUUAUUACUAUUUUUUUACCAAAACGCAGGUAUUUUCACCAAAAUAAACCGAAGAAUGCACAUGGAAUUUGUAUGAAAAAGCAACCUGUGACGUUAUUGAAAAACGUGUCAGAAUGUCGCACUUAUUAUUACAUUUUUCUUUAUUAAAAUUUAUAAAUAAGUUAAAUAGAAAAAAUGAAACGUGUGUUGUCACCGUUAGAUGUGGAAUAUUGAAAACUGAAGACACGGGUUAGGCCUAUUUUUAUCGUGAUUUUCGAAUAUUAAAUUACUAAAGUCAAGGCUGUAUGGUCCUCAGAUCUUUGCCUGCCUUAUAUAAGGCGAAUUUAAACAACAACAUAGAUGUCUUUAUUCAGUAAUCAUAAUUUCAUAAUUUAUCUUUGACCUAGGAAACUACCCCGUUCUGUAUCUGAGAUGAUUAUGCUCCUGAUGCUCCGAAUAUUCCGAUUCCGCUCAAGUGGACUUGUGGCUUUUAAGCAUGGUAAGUAAUCUUAUUUCUAAAUGUCAAUAUACAUAGUAAUUGUUGUGGGAAUAGCAGACAUUACGUGCCUAUAAGGUUUUCUCUUUAUUCUAGAAAUCUAGACAAAUAUUACCUUAAUACAUUUACUCACGUUAAAAUUUUUAUAGAUAGGUGUAGUUAGAAAAUGUUUUAAUGUAAAAAUCGCAUAAAAUGUUACUUAUUUACAUGUACAGUCAUGAGCAAUAUAAUGUACCCACUUUAGGACUCUGUCGCACUAACAUAUUUGACAUUUAGUGAGACUUACAGUUCAAUUUGUCAAAAAAGUUAAUGUGACAUGGUACCAAAGUGUAUACAUAUUAAUGCUCAUGACCGUA